GGUCAAGUUAUUAAGGGUGCAGGGCGGAUGCCUUGGCACUAGGAGCCGAUGAAGGACGUGAUAAGCUGCGAUAAGCUUCGGGGAGUUGCACGUAAACUUUGAUCCGAAGAUUUCCGAAUGAGGAAACUCACUUAGAGUAAUGUCUAAGUAUCAUUAAGUGAAUACAUAGCUUAAUGAGGGGAACUCAGGGAACUGAAACAUCUAAGUACCUGAAGGAAGAGAAAGAAAUUCGAUUCCGUAAGUAGCGGCGAGCGAACGCGGAUUAGCCCAAACCAAUAAAGUUUUCUUUAUUGGGGUUGCGGACAUAUCAUAACGAAGAGGUAUCGUAAUUGAAGAGGUUUGGAAAGACCCACCACAGAAGGUAAUAGUCCUGUAUGUUAAACGAGAAGACUUUAGAUAUGAUCCAGAGUACCACGGGACACGUGAAACCCUGUGGGAAGCAGGAGGGACCACCCUCCAAGGCUAAAUACUACCUAGUGACCGAUAGCGUAUAGUACCGUGAGGGAAAGGUGAAAAGAACCCCGGGAGGGGAGUGAAAUAGAACCUGAAACCCUGCACUUACAAGCUGUGGAAGCACAUUUCUUGUGUGACCGCGUACUUUUUGUAGAACGGGCCAACGAGUUACGUUAAGUAGCAAGGUUAAGCACUUAAGGUGCGGAGCCGUAGCGAAAGCGAGUUUUAACUGAGCGUUCAGUUACUUGACGUAGACCCGAAACCGGGCGACCUACCCAUGAGCAGGAUGAAGCGAAAGUAAAAUUUCGUGGAGGUCCGAACCCACGAGCGUUGAAAAGCUCGGGGAUGACUUGUGGGUAGCGGUGAAAUUCCAAUCGAGCCCGGAGAUAGCUGGUUCUCCCCGAAAUAGCUUUAGGGCUAGCCUCAAGGUGAGAGAUACGGAGGUAGAGCACUGAAUGUCCUAGGGGGUAUUGCACCUACCGAAGACUAUCAAACUCCGAAUGCCGUCAUCUUAUACUUGGGAGUCAGACUGUGGGUGAUAAGAUUCAUAGUCGAAAGGGCAACAGCCCAGAUCGUCAGCUAAGGUCCCUAAAUGUAAGUUAAGUGGUAAAGGAUGUGGGAUUGCACAGACAACCAGGAUGUUGGCUUAGAAGCAGCCACUCAUUCAAAGAGUGCGUAAUAGCUCACUGGUCGAGUGAUCCUGCGCCGAAGAUUUCCGGGGCUAAAACUU
rnacentral:rRNA from 1 species